rnacentral:tRNA from 1 species
CCCAGCACCGGGCGGCGCGCGGCGGCAUGGCGCGCCAGCGCCGCGUCGAUGCGCUGCUCGCGCAGCCAGGCCAGGUCGCCGCUGGUGUGCUUGGA